GUUUUCACCUCACAGAACGAUUUCGAUGUUUGUUAUUUUGUAUUUUUCAUGUUCUUAUACAAUAAAUUUAACAUGGACACGUACCACACUGCAUUUUGGUCCGAUCUAUCAUAUUCCUGUUCCUCAGAUCAAGAAGAUCGUUACAGUUAUGGAUGAACUCCGGCGGAUCCUCGAUCGAGGGAACUCCCGCUUCAUAGCUGAACUGAAGACCCACUGGGGGACCUUUUACAAAAAGGCACAGUUUUAUGGAGUGUUCAAAAAGGUCAUGAAGCCACUGCUGCUGGACAAAGUGAAACACUCAAUCGCCAUGAUGAAGGCUUUACCAGACAUGUUCCCAUCACCGGUGUCUCCACCCAAGAAAUUAGGACAUGCAAGUGAGGCUAUGCUUCACAUCCUUGAGACAGGUUCUCUCAGUCUGCAGAAGACCCCAACAACUUUCUUCAGGCGAGACCACUCUUCAAGCCCUGUCGUGAUUGUCUGCGAAACUAUCUGCAUACUGGCCAUUGGAACAUGCCUGUUGCUGACCUUCCCAAAAGAGGACAUCUAUGGCAGCAUGACGUAUCCUCUGGCGUGUUAUUAUGCCUUUCACCUCACAUAUCCCAAGUGCAUUGCGACAGUCCUCUCUGUGCUGCAGACAGAAGUCCUCUCGGACGCCAUCCACGACCGGGACAUGACUUCUUCAUAUAACAAGGCUAUGGCCGAGUGGAAAAAGUUCAUUACUGACUAGGGUUGCACGAUACAAUUUUUUCAUUUCCGGUCCCGAUAACAGAACUGUGCGUAUGGGCCGAUCCGAGAACCGAUCCGAGAACCGAUCCGAUAACCUUUAAUAAAUAGGCAGGGCGUUUGUUGUUUAUUAUAAGAA
ensembl:lncRNA